rnacentral:rRNA from 1 species
AACAAACGCUGGCGGCGUGCCUAAUACAUGCAAGUCGAACGGGGAAAGCUUUCGGGUGAGUACUAGUGGCGCACGGGUGAGGAACGCGUGGAUAAUCUGCCUUAGAGUGGGGGAUAACUAGUCGAAAGAUUAGCUAAUACCGCAUAAGACCACGAGAGCUGCGGCUUUUGAGGUCAAAGGUUUUUCGCUCUAAGAUGAGUCCGCGUAAGAUUAGCUAGUUGGUGAGGUAACGGCUCACCAAGGCGACGAUCUUUAACUGGUCUGAGAGGAUGAUCAGUCACACUGGAACUGAGACACGGUCCAGACUCCUACGGGAGGCGGCAGUAAGGAAUAUUGCACAAUGGAGGAAACUCUGAUGCAGCGACGCCGCGUGAGUGAUGAAGGCCUUCGGGUCGUAAAGCUCUGUCGCAGGGGAAUAACACAAUGAAGGUACCCUGUAAGAAAGGAUCGGCUAACUUCGUG